rnacentral:rRNA from 1 species
AGCAGCCGCGGUAAUUCCAGCUCCAAUAGCGUAUAUUAAAGUUGUUGCAGUUAAAAAGCUCGUGGUUGAAUUUCGGGGUUCUACCGUUGGUCGGGCAAUAGUCUGUACUGGCGUGUAGAAUUUCUACCUUCUGGGGAACCAUCAUGUUAUUUAUUUAGCGUGGUGGGAAACCAGGACCUUUACCUUGAAAAAAUUAGAGUGCUCCAGGCAGGCCUAUGCUCGAAUACAUUAGCAUGGAAUAAUAGAAUAGGACGUGUGGUUCUAUUUUGUUGGUUUCUAGGACCGCCGUAAUGAUUAAUAGGGACAGUCGGGGGCAUCAGUAUUCAAUUGUCAGAGGUGAAAUUCUUGGAUUUAG